rnacentral:rRNA from 1 species
UACAGAGGUCUCAAGCGUUGUUCGGAUUCAUUGGGCGUAAAGGGUGCGUAGGCGGCGCGGUAAGUCGGGUGUGAAAUCUUGGAGCUUAACUCCGAAACUGCAUUCGAUACUGCCGUGCUUGAGGACUGGAGAGGAGACUGGAAUUUACGGUGUAGCGGUGAAAUGCUUAGAUAUGACAUAGAACACCAAUUGCGAAGGCAGCUGGCUACGCAUAUAUUGACACUGAGGCACGAAAGCGUGGGGAGCAAACAGG